rnacentral:sRNA from 1 species
AAAAUGUUCCCUUUAUACGUAUCUAAAUGAUUUCACCGUUACCUGUGAUGUUUUCUGAGUGGUAGAUCUUUUCCAAUGACAUAUUUUCUCCUUUAAGAUUUUUCAUGAUGUGAGGAACAGAGAUUCCAUUUUUGGCAACGUGAUUCAUCAACGUGUGCAACGCUUCUGAAAAAUAAAAAAAUAUUAAUGAUAUGUUGCUAUUUCUAUCAAUAACAGAUGU